CGUAGGGUGAACCUGCGGAGGGAUCAUUAAAGAGUUAUUACAACUCCUAAACCCAUGUGAACUUACCGUACGUUGCCUCGGCAGGUCGCGCUCACCCCGUAGCACCCUACCACGUAGGGGCCUACUCGGUGGCCGCGGACUAAGCCUGUCGGUGGCCCAACCAAACUCUGUCAGUGAUUGUGUCUUCUGAACUUGACAACGAAAUACGUUAAAACUUUCAACAACGGAUCUCUUGGUUCUGGCAUCGAUGAAGAACGCAGCGAAAUGCGAUAAGUAAUGUGAAUUGCAGAAUUCAGUGAAUCAUCGAAUCUUUGAACGCACAUUGCGCCCAUUAGUAUUCUAGUGGGCAUGCCUGUUCGAGCGUCAUUUCAACCCUUAAGCCCCUGUUGCUUAGUGUUGGGAGCCUACAGCGAUGUAGCUCCUCAAAGUUAGUGGCGGAGUCGGUUACACACUCUAGGCGCAGUAAACUCUUUAUCUCGUUUCUACGGUUGUGGCCGGUCCCUUGCCGUAAAACCCCCACAAUUUCUCAAGGUUGACCUCGGAUCAGGUAGGAAUGCCCAGCUGAACUUAAGCAUAUCAAUAAGCGGAGGAA
rnacentral:rRNA from 1 species